rnacentral:rRNA from 3 species
GGUUAAGCGACUAAGCGUACACGGUGGAUGCCCUGGCAGUCAGAGGCGAUGAAGGGCGUGCUAAUCUGCGAUAAGCGCCGGUAAGGUGAUAUGAACCGUUAUAACCGGCGAUACCCGAAUGGGGAAACCCAGUGUGACUCGUCACACUAUCAUUAACUGAAUCCAUAGGUUAAUGAGGCGAACCGGGGGAACUGAAACAUCUAAGUACCCCGAGGAAAAGAAAUCAACCGAGAUUCCCCCAGUAGCGGCGAGCGAACGGGGAGGAGCCCAGAGCCUGAAUCAGCAUGUGUGUUAGUGGAAGCGUCUGGAAAGGCGCGCGAUACAGGGUGACAGCCCCGUACACAAAAGCGCAUGUGCUGUGAGCUCGAUGAGUAGGGCGGGACACGUGGUAUCCUGUCUGAAUAUGGGGGGACCAUCCUCCAAGGCUAAAUACUCCUGACUGACCGAUAGUGAACCAGUACCGUGAGGGAAAGGCGAAAAGAACCCCGGCGAGGGGAGUGAAAAAGAACCUGAAACCGUGUACGUACAAGCAGUGGGAGCACCCUUUGGG